UUUCCAUACGGAUACCACAGUCGACCAGAAGAGCUGCAAUUAAAAAAAAAAAAAUCUUGGCCAAAAUCACAUUUAACAAGGAGGAAAAACGCAUUUUCCGCCCACGCAAGGAGCGAAUGUGAAAAAUACAUAAAUGCGAGAGGGAAAAUCGAUAAGGACGUCCUUGAAAUAGAAAAGGGAAGGACCAUUCAUGAAGUUGGCCGAACUUUUCAUGAAUGAAAGUGGCCAGCGAGGAGUUGGGACAGCCCAGUCGGCAUUUUGGGCACUGACGCAACCACAAUGCGCUGCUUCAAGGUCAGCGUAGAAUUUCAUUCAUAAAACUCAUACGCCCCGCGGCGUAGAUAUACCCACAUACAUACGAGCAUACAUACAGAGCCAUGGCGCGUGUAAGUUUCCAGGAGGUGGCCAUAAAUGGGGACUGGGCGCCAAGCGAGCACUCCAUUUGCAGCUUGUUGAUUUUUUUACGCGUGCAAACACAAACAAAGCGGGCAAUCAUUUCAUUCAUGAAACCAACUCAGGGGGGCUCCAAACUUCAAAAAAGAGCCAGAGAAACUAAGCCCGCACCCCCAGCGAAAAGCUGCGGGCCCUGCCAAAGAUUUUUGGAGCUGGUCCAGAAAACAAUUUCGCGAUAAGCUGAAAGCAAUUUUGCCCCUAGGAAUUUGUGGAGAACUUAGUCGCUUGGGUUUCAUUCAGAUGCGAGUCGAAUGGGGAUAACUGUCAUCUUGCCAACUUGAAAAUGGUAAAGGUCACAUAUCUGAAAAUAAAUGAAAUUCUUGUGUACGUUACAGAGAUGUAAUAUUUCAAAUGCCUGGUUAAUUGGAAAAUAUUUAUUACACAACCUGGUGGUUACGUGUCGAAUUAGUAAUAUUUUCAUCAAACCCCAACGAGUUUUCCUCUUUGCCUUCAAUGGAGCUUCCUGAAUCCCAUUUUCCAAGCAAAAGUCUGAUUUCAGUUGAUAUCAGUUGUAAAUGUUUAAAAGAAAUUAUGUACAAGAGAAAUGUCAACUUCCUACUAUUAUACCAAAAAGGACUAAAUAAGUUUAUACAAUAAUCACCCCUCCUAAUAGUAAUAAAUAUUUUGGACAAAA